UACCAAAGUUCAAGUGAUUAGCAUCGCAGGUAGAUAUUUGGACACACACCUGCGGACAUUAUCGCCAGUGCUGCACUGUAUCUCUAUAUACAAAGACUCCUCUCUCUCAUCUAUUUUCCCUCCAAACUCCUCCAUUCUCUCUCUCCUCUAUUCUCACUCUAUCUCUCCAAACCCCUUUCCACUAUGACAGAAGGGACAAUGGAACUGGGUGACAUGGGGACAUCCCUGAUGGCAUCAGACUCUAAGAAAGCACCGGUCCAGCCUCCCAACAAGUUUGAGCGCCUGGUCCAGCCGUGUCUGGCUGAGCUGGUGGGGACCAUGUUCUUUGUGUUCAUCGGCUGUGUGUCGGUCAUAGAGAACGUGGAGGCAGCAGGGAGGCUGCAGCCAGCUCUGGUCCAUGGUCUGGCUGUGGCAGUCAUGGUGGCGUGCAUGGCAGAGAUCAGCGGCUCCCAUUUUAACCCACCGUUUACCAUUGCUAUCUACCUGUGUGGAGGCAUGAAGCUGAAUAUGGUGGGGCCCUACCUCAUCAGUCAGCUCAUAGGGGGUGUGCUAGGUGCUUCCAUGUCAAAGCUGAUGACCACAACAGAGAACUACUCCAAGGCCCAGGGGGCAGCCUUUGCCCUGCUGCAAUCACAAGAUCAGCUGUGGGGGGCUCUGUUUGGGGAGAUAGCCAUGACCUGCCUGGUCACCAUGGUGGUGCUGCUGGGGGCGGUCAACGCCAAGAGUAGCAGCCCCAUGGUUCCCUUCAUGGUGGGCUGUACUGUCAUCAUCAACAUCCUGGCUGGUGGAGAUGUGUCUGGAACCUGUCUGAACCCGGCCAGAGCCCUGGGUCCUGCUAUAGUGGCCAACUACUGGACCUACCACUGGGUUUACUGGGUAGGACCCAUCACUGGUGGACUGGUGGCUGCUGCACUGGUUAGACUACUGCUUGGAGACCGGAGACACGUAUUCUCAUGAAGUAAUACCACAUGUCGAGUUGACAGGUCUGAGAUUACCAUUGUUGUUACAUACAGUUGUUACAGUACCAGUCAAAAGUUUGGACACACCUACUCAUUCAAGGGUUUGUCUUUAUUUUUUACUAUUUUCUACUUUGUAGAAUAAUAGUGAAGACAUCUAAACUAUGAAAUAACACAUAUGGAAUC